rnacentral:rRNA from 1 species
AAACAUUGUUUAUAUAAUUAUCAUAAAUAUAACCUGCUCAAUGAAAAAAUUUAAAUAGCUGCAAAUUUUGUACUAAGGUAGCAUAAUCAUUUGUUUUUUAAUUUAAAACUAGAAUGAAAGGUAAAACAAAUCAUCUCUUUAUUUUAUAUUUUAUUUUAACUUAUAUUAAAUAUAAAAAUAUAUUUUUUAAAAAAAAAGACGACAAGACCCUAUUGAACUUUACUUUAGUUUAGCUGGGGAAGCUAAAUAAUAAAUAUUUUAUUAUAAAUUUUAUAAAUGACCCAAAACAUUUGAUUAAUUAAUCAAGUUACCAUAGGGAUAACAGCGCAAUAAAUUUUUAAAGUUCUUAUAUAAAAAUUUGMUUACGACCUCGAUGUUGAAUUAGAAAUCUUUAUUAAGCAAAA